ACACCGGCAGCUCAAGUGGUAGCCGCUUUUAUUGGGCCUAAAGCGUCCGUAGCCGGUCUGAUAAGUCUCUGGUGAAAUCCCACAGCUUAACUGUGGGAAUUGCUGGAGAUACUAUCAUGACUCGAGGUCGGGAGAGGCUGGAGGUACUCCCAGGGGAGGGGAGAAAUCCUGUAAUCCUGGGAGAGCCACCUGUGGGGAAGCGAUCGAGCGGGAACGAACCUAACGGUGAGGGACGAAAGCCAGGGGCGCGAGCCGGAUAGGAUACCCGAGUAGGCCUGGCCGUAAACGAUGUGGACUUGGUGUUGGGAUGGCUUCGAGCUGCCCCAGUGCCGAAGGGAAGGUGUUAAGUCCACCGCCUGGGAAGUACGGCCGCAAGGCUGAAACUUAAAUGAAUUGGCGGGG
rnacentral:rRNA from 1 species